ACGCACGCUGGCGGCGUGCUUAACACAUGCAAGUCGAACGGAAAGGCCCUGCUUUUGUGGGGUGCUCGAGUGGCGAACGGGUGAGUAACACGUGAGUAACCUGCCCUUGACUUUGGGAUAACUUCAGGAAACUGGGGCUAAUACCGGAUAGGAGCUCCUGUUGCAUGGUGGGGGUUGGAAAGUUUCGGCGGUUGGGGAUGGACUCGCGGCUUAUCAGCUUGUUGGUGGGGUAGUGGCUUACCAAGGCUUUGACGGGUAGCCGGCCUGAGAGGGUGACCGGCCACAUUGGGACUGAGAUACGGCCCAGACUCCUACGGGAGGCAGCAGUGGGGAAUAUUGCACAAUGGGCGGAAGCCUGAUGCAGCAACGCCGCGUGCGGGAUGACGGCCUUCGGGUUGUAAACCGCUUUCGCCUGUGACGAAGCGUGAGUGACGGUAAUGGGUAAAGAAGCACCGGCUAACUACGUG
rnacentral:rRNA from 1 species